UACUGUUACUCCUUUCUCUGGCUUGUUAAGCAUGAUUAUGUUUUACAAAUGUUUGUAUUUAGCCAGUUCUUGUUUUUCUUUUGAUGCAGCUACAAGGCCAGCUAUGCAAGUCCACAAAUUAUGCACUAUAUGAUUAACUGCUUUUGUUUUACUUUUGUAAGUCCACUUAUAAAAACCCUGUUCUGUCUUUGUUUAAUGCUCAGCUUUUUGGAUAUGAAUCCACUCAGCCGGAGCAUACCUAAAAAUAAGUAUCUUCCUGUACUCUCAUAUCAAUCUCUCCAUUCCUCAGUUUCCCGUAACAUUUCUUGGCGAGCCAGCCAGGAGUGGAGAUGACAGGCUUACUGUCUCCUCUGCCUAUGGAGGGCUGCAGCCCUGAGCCAGGGGAGACCUGUGACCCCAGGCGCCACCAGGAGAACUUCAGCCUGGAGGGGAAAUCAGCUCUCCUGUGACCAGGCACCCCUACCCAGCAGCACAACGGAACCUGAGAGGAGCUACAGGAUGAUUCUAGAAAGAGCGCACUUCAGGAACUGUGUUGCAGGUGUUGUGCAUUGGAUCCACCACAGUCGGCUGAAACCGACAACUCAAGACAAGUGGACCAGCCAGCAGGACCCAGAUCAUCCAACCCAGCUGAUCCUGAGAUGAGACCGAACUGCUGCUAAAGAUGAUCGCCCUGCUCUGGUCACUCUAGAGUCUGACCAGCCUACACACGGCUGAAGCUUGAGGAAACAACAAGCCCUGCUCUAGUCACACACUGAAAGUUGACUAGUCUAUGCACAGCCAAAGCUUGAUGACUCAUCAAGCAAGUAAAUGCAGUUAGAAAUCUUAGGACUAGUAGUUUUCCUUGUAAUAUUAACUGUUUUACUAUUGUUCUGUCACUAUUCUCAACCUCCUCCCCCAAGUAAGGACCUCUUCUGUCCUUACUAGAUAUGAAUACACUGUACAUUGUUUUGCUGUUGUUACCCACCUUAACCAUGCUAGAAGAAACACCCAUAGAAGGGUGUUCCCAUUGUACACAUACUACAUGGUCAGAAAACAGUAUAACCAGGACUCUAUUAUACCAUACUUAUUAUGAGUGUACAGGGACUUACCUAGGAACUUGUACUUACAAUGAGAUCACCUAUUCAAUUUAUGACCCAGAAAUGGCCAGCUACCUACGCGGAAAAUAGGUCAUGGAGUUACCAUAUUCCUACUUACAUGCUUAAGCGCAUCAUAAGGUUACAGGCAGGGCUUGAGAUCACUAAUAAAACAGCAAAUGCAUUAGAUUUACUGGCCCAGCAAGCUACAAAAAUGAGGACUGCUAUCUAUCAAAACAGAUUAGCUUUAGACUACCUCCUAGCCCAGGAAGGAGGAGUAUGUGGACAAUUCAAUCUAACUAAUUGCUGCCUGGAAAUCAACGACAAUGGAAAGACAAUUACGGAAAUAACUGCAAGAAUAAGAAAAUUAACCCAUGUUCCAGUUCAAACAUAGAAAGGGUGGUCUCCAGUUCUCUCUUUGGAGGCUGUCUUUCAUUUUUCGGAGGCUUUAAGACUUUAAUAAGAGUGGUUCUGGCCAUACUAGGAAGUUGCCUAAUACUCCCUUGUCUCUUACCUCUCCUUGUUAGAAACAUUCAAUCAACUAUAGAGGCAAUAGUAGCUAGGCAAACUACCAGUCAGCUAAAGGCUCUAUGUAAAUAUCAACCUUUGUCUAAAGAAUAAAACUUGUCUCUUCAUGCAAAAUUAAAUAAUAGUGAUGCCUCCUAUUAAACUUCUUUUAUAAAAGGCAUCAAGGGGGGAAACUGAGGCAGAAAUUUAAAAAUAAAUAUGCAUUCAUUCACUCCAAGAAAAGUAACAGGAAAGGCAAGGGUUAAAAAGAAAAGAACAAGUUUUCCUCUGCCUAGCAAGCUCACUUCAAGGUCAGUUAUAAGAUAAAGCUGUUUGAGAAGCCAAGGCCAAAGGAACGGGCUCCAGACACCUCGCCCCUCCAGAACAAGUUUGAAGGGAAAAAAAAGAGAAAGACAAAUUCCUUUACUGUUACUCCUUUCUCUGGCUUCUUAAGCAUGAUUAUGUUUUACAAAUGUCUGUAUUUAGCCAGUUCUUGUUUUUCUUUUGACGCAGCUACAAGGCCACCAGCUAUGCAAGGCCACAAAUUAUGCACUAUAUGAUUAACUGCUUUUGUUUUACUUUUGUAAGUCCACUUAUAAAAACCCUGCUCUUUGUUUAAUGCUCAGCUUUUUGUAUAUGAAUCCACUCAGCCAGUGCGUACCUUAAAAUAAAUACCCUCUAGUACUCGCAAA